rnacentral:lncRNA from 1 species
GUUUGGGACGGCCGACAGAAAGCUUUGGGAAGCUUCUGGAACAGUUAUAAAAAAGUUAGUCUGGAACCUGUGAAUGAGUUUACUCCACACUUUACUCUCAUCAUCAAUCAUUAUAAAUAUCUGUUUUUAGGAAGAAGAGAGGAGCAUCUCCAGCCCCCAGUGGAGUGUCUAUGAAGAGUGGCUGGUCCAUGGAUCCUCCUCCGCAGUUCAGCGGUGAAACUGUGACCUCUGACCCAAAAGAGAAGAAAAAAAACAUUAUCCGGGAAAAUCUGGACAAAAUAUUCAAGGAGCUGCAGGAGAAGUUUAUCUCUCUAGUGAAGAAUGAGCUGAACACAUUCAAGAAGCUCCUGAGUUCAG